CAAAUGUCUCUUCCUGAAGACAAACCUGCAGGAUUUGCUUGGUGUAGGGUCACAAUUUAGGAACAAGAUCCUCAGCUGGGAUAAAGAAACUGAGGCGCAGGCUCCAGGCAUCCUGCAGAAGUGUAACAUGAGGUUAAAAUGGGUGUGAAACAGGCCUCCCAUAUAUACCUUGCACCGUUUCCACCUCUAGGCCGGGGGGACUCUUUGAAACCAGAGCAGCAGCCAUAGGCAAGAGAAAGAGGAGCACCUCUCUUAGAGGAAAUCCUCAGUCUUGGAGAAAGGAGCCAGUCUACGAGUUAGAGGGGACGCUAGGACAGACUGCCUGCCUGCCGAAAGCCGCGCGCAGGAGGCGGAGGCUGCUCCACGGCGCAAAGGAGAUGGAGGGGCUGUUUGGAUUGUAAGCUUUUUGUGCAGAAGCUGUUUCUCCUUGUGCUCUUGUACAACACCUAACACACCUGACCUUGCUGCGUCUGCUCCAGUGCUAUCCCUUUUAAGGAGAGAGAGCGGGUGCGUGUCCUCCAGUCUCCGCUCAGGGUCAGCCGGUUCCUCCUCCUUUGGAUUUUCAGUCAGAACAGUUGUACCAGGCUCGAGAAGGUAG
rnacentral:lncRNA from 1 species